rnacentral:rRNA from 1 species
CCUACGGGAGGCAGCAGUGAGGAAUAUUGGUCAAUGGUCGGGAGACUGAACCAGCCAAGCCGCGUGAGGGAUGAAGGUACAGAGUAUCGUAAACCUCUUUUGUCAGGGAACAAAGGCGGGGACGCGUCCCCGGAUGAGUGUACCUGAAGAAAAAGCAUCGGCUAACUCCGUGCCAGCAGCCGCGGUAAUACGGAGGAUGCGAGGUUUAUCCGGAUUUAUUGGGUUUAAAGGGUGCGAAGGCGGUCUGUAAAGUCAGCGGUCAAACCCCGGGGCUCAGCCCCGGCCCGCCGUUGAAACUGGCAGUCUCGAGUUGGAGAGAAGUAUGCGGAAUGCGCGGUGUAGCGGUGAAAUGCAUAGAUAUCGCGCAGAACUCCGAUUGCGAAGGCAGCAUGCCGGCUCCACACUGACGCUGAGGCACGAAAGCGUGGGUAUCGAACAGGAUUAGAUACCCGUGUAGUC